AUCUGGAUAGCUCAGUUAGUUAGAGUGUGCUGCUGAUAACAUCAAGGUUGCAGGUUCAAUCCCUGUAUAGGACA